UACGGGGGGGGGCAAGCGUUGUUCGGAAUUACUGGGCGUAAAGGGCGCGUAGGCGGCCUGCUAAGUCGGACGUGAAAUCCCUCGGCUCAACCGAGGAACUGCGUCCGAUACUGGUGGGCUUGAAUCCGGGAGAGGGAUGUGGAAUUCCAGGUGUAGCGGUGAAAUGCGUAGAUAUCUGGAGGAACACCGGUGGCGAAGGCGGCAUCCUGGACCGGUAUUGACGCUGAGGCGCGAAAGCCAGGGGAGCAAACGGG
rnacentral:rRNA from 1 species